AGUAAUCCUAUCAAAUGCAGGUGCACAGAAAUUAGGAGAUCAGAACAGCUCCUUGCAUUUCUUGCUACAUUUCCAGUAUUUUCCCAUUCCCUUGCUCAGUGCCUUGUCAGCACACCUAGAAUUGAGGGUGUGAUAAGAGAGGAGCAGAAAAGUAAGACUGAAAUAUUGUCCAAUACGACUAAGAAUUUUGCAGAAUGCAAUAAUUGUUUUAAACACAACAGCAGUUUAUGGUUAUCAAGGCACCAAGGAAUAGCACUGCCAAGAAUUUACUGAGCAGUAGGGCUUCUCUGACAGGAACUGCGCAGCAAUGUUCUCCCAGCAGCUUGACGUCAUUCUGCAUUGGUUGGAGUGAGAUUGGACAGAGCGUGGCUGAAGCUGACAGGAAAGAGAUUAUGCAGUUAUAGGUCUAAGGAGAACUUCCUUGGGAAGCAACCAAGAAUUGUCUUGAGACAAUAACAUUCCAGAAUUAGGUUUUGGGAGAGAGUGUCAAAAUCUCAUUCUAAUGGCUGAACAAUUUUAUCUGGGAAGAGAUGUGGCCAACUUUCUAGGGCUGACUUUGAUCCAGUAGAACAUGUCUUUUACAAGCAUUUACUUUACCAACUGGGAGCUCAGUACCCUCCCCUGUGAAAAACACCCAGGCAAGUCCAAGUCCCACAGAGUUGUUGCAACAGAGGGAAAAACAAGUGGGAUUCCAUUCAGCUUGGCUCCUAAAAAGAUCCUUAUUGGUGCUUGUGCCUGUACUACUAAGAGAGUUGUGGAAACCUUGGAAUGUGCCCAGAGUAGAGCAAUGGAAAUGAUUGGGAAAGAGGAUCUAUGAGAAAAGGCUCAAAGAAUUGAUAUGGGUGUAGAAAUAAAAUUGUGUGGAAUUACAGAUAAACUAUUUCAGGAGUAUGAAGUUAAACAAACAAGAGAAGAUGAAGGAGGAAAAGAAGAAGAUGGAGGAGGACAAAGUUUUCAGAAGUGCUUAUUAGAGCUAUUACAUGCCAAAUAUCUACUCUGUGGGAAAAGCAAAUUUCACAUUUUUAUCAACUCUGUAUUCACACAUCUGAUCAAGAGAUGUUAGAAGCCAGUUCUUGAGAAUGGCAGGACCACCUUGUGGACAUAACCUGGGUCGGUGAAUGACUGCACGGAGCAGAGUCCUACCUGUCAAGACGUCAGAUUAUGAUGUGAAUAAGCAAUAAACAUAUAUUUUGUUAACUCA
rnacentral:lncRNA from 1 species